AUUAGAUACCCGUGUAGUCCUAGCCGUAAACGAUACUCGCUAGGUGUCGGCCACGGUGCGACCGUUGUCGGUGCCGUAGGGAAGCCGUGAAGCGAGCCACCUGGGAAGUACGGCCGCAAGGCUGAAACUUAAAGGAAUUGGCGGGGGAGCACCACAACGGGUGGAGCUUGCGGUUUAAUUGGAUUCAACGCCGGAAAUCUUACCGGGACCGACAGCAACAUGAAGGCCAGGCUGAAGACUUUGCCGGAUUAGCUG
rnacentral:rRNA from 1 species